AUGCGCGGGGCAACCACCCAGCGCCAGGGGCCGUGCCGCCGCACCGACCAGGUGUCAGGCUCCGGCGGCGGCGGGGUCGACCGCCUCGGCGCCCUCCCGGAUGCACUCCUGCACCACGUCAUGUCGUUCCUGAAGGCAUGGGAGGUGGUUCCCACCUGCAUGCUCGCGCGCUGGUGACGCCACCUAUGGGAGUCCGCGCCCUGCGUCGACCUCCGCGUGCGCUACAUGAGCCGCGACGCCGACCCGCCGCAGGAGUUCCGCGACUUCGUGCACCGCCUCUUCCUCCUCCGCGACGUGUCAGCGCCCGUGGACAUGCUCCGCCUACAGCCCGGCGACGAGGACGCUGGCUUCAACGAGGACGAUGCAGGGCGUGUUAUUCACCUUGCCGGGCAUCACAAGAGAGUUGCGUCGUUGGACGGCGUGCCCUUCGUUUUGUGCCACCUCAAGAUCUUGAAGUUGUCGUACGCCAGGCUCGAUGACAGUGUCCUCCGACAGCUUUCUGCUAGUUGCAAAUCCUUGGAACAGCUGGAUCUCAAGGAUUGCUUGGUCACAGGCCCUGGGAUUGUGUCCGUCUCUUUGAGGACCUUAAUCAUGCUUAAGUGCAAGUUCAAUUCCCUCUUCUCCAUUGCAGCUCCCAACCUCCUACUUCUGCGCCUCAUCACACCGUAUGCCCAAGUUCCGUCAUUUACCAACUUUGGGUCACUAGUCACAUCCACUAUCUUACUUGAUGACCAUUUCUUGAGCAAUGAAUUUGAACACAUCAGCGAUAAGGAUGACUGCGAUGAAACUACUGAUGACGAUGGCAAUGAUGAUAAGAGGGAGAACUAUACGAUUCAUGAUGCCUCAUCUUUGAGUGAUGAUGAUGAUUUUGGAUACAUCGGUGAUUUUGACGAGUUUGGAUAUGGAUAUGGUUUUCCCGAAGAAAGAUAUGGGCACAGUCGCUACAAGGAUAAUUAUAAUUAUGGUAGCAAUAUUGAUAGUGAUGACAAUGCCUAUGAAUACAGUGAGAUCGCAAAUGAUGCAAAGUAUGGCUACAAAGGUAAGGGAAGCUUUAGUGAAGAUGGUAACUAUGGAAAAAUCAGUGGUGGAAAUUAUAGUUACAUUCUAGGUGGCCAUCAUAUGCUCGAGAGCCUUUCCACAGCUACGAGUUUGGAGUUGUUAAUUGAUGCUGGAGAGGUGGUUCUGACUAGGGAAUUGAGAAGGUGUCCAACUUUUAGCAACCUGAAGACCCUGUCCCUUGGUGAAUGGUGUAUGGCCGCUGAUUUCGAUGCAUUAAUUUUCUUGCUACAUCAUUCACCUAAUAUAAAGACGCUUUUCUCCAACUCAAAUUGGAACUUCAGCACAAGGAAGGCAUUGGAAACAUGUAUCAAACUACAGGGAAGAUCAUUUACUUGCAAAGAACUUAGAAUGGUGAAGAUCAAAUGUUCAAAGGACGAUUGGAGAGUCCACACCUUGGCACAUAUGUUCAGGGCAAAUGGUAUAUCACUAGAGAAUAUUUAUGUGCGUCGGAGCGGAGAUGCUUAUCUCCGUGGCCAGAAGUUUAUGAGGGACCUCGCCAAACAAGAACUGGAUGAAUGUGGGGACGACUGGAUGUAA
rnacentral:rRNA from 1 species